AUUGAACGCUGGCGGCAGGCCUAACACAUGCAAGUCGAACGAGUGGCGGACGGGUGAGUAAUGUCUGGGAAACUGCCAGAUGGAGGGGGAUAACUACUGGAAACGGUAGCUAAUACCGCAUACCAGCAGCUGGGCCCAGAUGGGAUUAGCUAGUUGGUGGGGUAAAGGCUCACCAAGGCGACGAUCCCUAGCUGGUCUUAGAGGAUGACCAGCCACACUAGAACUGAGACACGGUCCAGACUCCUACGGGAGGCAGCAGUGGGGAAUAUUGCACAAUGGGCGCAAGCCUGAUGCAGCCAUGCCGCGUGGAUGAAGCAGGCCGUCGGGUUGUAAAGUACUUUCAGCGGGGAGGCGUUACCCGCAGAAGAAGCACCGGCUAACUCCGUGCCAGCAGCCGCGGUAAUUC
rnacentral:rRNA from 1 species